rnacentral:lncRNA from 1 species
GAGCCUCUUUUGAAAUUCAAAUGUUGAACGCAGAAUAGGAAGAGCAUCUCUUUGAGAUCUUGCUGCCUAAAUGGGAAGAUAUGACUGCAGCAGUGUGUGCACAUUUUUGAACAAGGAAAGAAAGAUCUGCGAUUUGAAUUUCAAAUAAUCUUCUAACUGAGCUUUCCUUGUUUGCUUUUGCUUCUGCACUUUCCUCAUUUGAAAACUUU